AUUGUAUUUGAGAAUCCACGUCAGGACGAACGCUGGCGGCGUGCCUAAUACAUGCAAGUCGAGCGAACCCUUCGGGGUGAGCGGCGGACGGGUGAGUAACACGUGGGCAAUCUGCCUAUCAGACUGGAAUAACACUCGGAAACGGGUGCUAAUGCCGGAUAGUUCAAGGGAAGGCAUCUUCCGUUGAGGAAAGUUGCAAAUGCAACACUGAUAGAGGAGCCCGCGGCGCAUUAGCUAGUUGGUGAGGUAACGGCCCACCAAGGCGACGAUGCGUAGCCGACCUGAGAGGGUGACCGGCCACACUGGGACUGAGACACGGCCCAGACUCCUACGGGAGGCAGCAGUAGGGAAUCUUCCGCAAUGGGCGAAAGCCUGACGGAGCAACGCCGCGUGAGCGAAGAAGGCCUUCGGGUUGUAAAGCUCUGUUGCUCGGGGAGAGCGAUAAGGAGAGUGGAAAGCUCCUUAGGAGACGGUACCGAGUGAGGAAGCCCCGGCAACACG
rnacentral:rRNA from 1 species